rnacentral:rRNA from 1 species
AACGACUCUCGGCAACGGAUAUCUCGGCUCUCGCAUCGAUGAAGAACGUAGCGAAAUGCGAUACUUGGUGUGAAUUGCAGAAUCCCGUGAACCAUCGAGUUUUUGAACGCAAGUUGCGCCCGARGCUUCURGCUGAGGGCACGUCUGCCUGGGCG